GCUAGGUGGAGGAGCCCCCGACAAACUGCAGGUUCCACUGCUCAAGCUUCCCUCGUCCGAGUCUGGCCCCAGCUUGAGGUUUCCUGCCUGGGUGGAGAGAUCUCCAAGGGGCUGCUUGCAUAACCAGGAAGCUCUGGAGGAACCUGGUACCAGAGGUGGAGACAGCAUCUCUGAUUGUACCUCUCUCCAGGACCUUCUGGACCUUGAUGUGGUUGGCGCAGAAGCCGCUGUAAAGCUUGAAGUGGUCGGCGUAGUAGAGAAACGAACCCCCGAGAGAAAACAGCAGCUUCUGCGGACGGAGAGGGUGUGAGAGAAACACAAAGAGAGCGGGUGCUGAAGUCAGGCGAGGAGGCAAUCCUCUCCUCCAGCGUCUGUAGGAAGACCCUCUGGAAGUCCAACAUCUCUGGAAGGCUGCCAAACAGACUCUCCAUCUGAGGAAGAGGACAAAGACAGGAGGGGUUGGUUUGGAAUUGUGGGAAGGUGAUGGCUAAGGAUGUAUGAAAGGAAAAUAUCAGAAAAAAGGGGGCAGAAGGGAGCAAGAAUAUGAAGCUACAACGAAAAAGAGCCAAACUAGCUUGUAAUUCAUAACAAUCAGUCUGACAGGCACCCUGGAGUGUUAUAAUAGCUCCAGUCUGAUGGAUCCAUCUUUGAUAAAGGCACUUUGGGACAAGCUAUAGCCCUGCUCUAUAAUACUGCGCACAGUCUAACACACCCUCUCCAUCACACAUACCCAGGGUCAGCGUUUCCCUUCAUUAAAAGGCGUUCAGGGCUAACACACCCUUGUCCAUUUUGUGUCUGGACACUUCCCACUGUCACAUAAUGGUCUUUUAAUUUGCCCCGAUGUUCAGUGUCCUAUCGACGAGUGUGUCUUGGGAGAUACGUCCCGCGCUUGAGGUCACGCGUGGCACAGGGAUGGAAAAUGCAACUCUGGGGCCAUUAGCAUGCUGCUGCAGUUCCUCUAUAUGUUGUCUCAAGAAAACACA